GUCGAACCGUCCAAACGUUAUUCGGAAUCACUGGGCUUAAAGGAUGCGUAGGCGGAGAGGCAAGUCAGAGGUGAAAGCCCACGGCUCAACCGUGGAAGUGCCCCUGAAACGGCCUCUCUCGAGGGAGAUAGGGGCGUGCGGAACUCAGAGUGGAGCGGUGAAAUGCGUAGAUAUUCUGAGGAACACCGGUGGCGAAAGCGGCACGCUGGGUCUUUGCUGACGCUGAGGCACGAAAGCUAGGGGAGCAAACGGG
rnacentral:rRNA from 1 species